GGGUGACGGAGGAACUGAAAGAAAUUCAUAUUAGUUAGGAAAUGGUGCUCUCUUCAUUUACUCUGCAGGGAAACUAAGAAGUAUCUCACCGAGUGGGAUACAACGAGGCAUCCAAAUUCUGUCACCUAUGAAUAUUUUCCUGCUCUCAGCUGAUUCACUGGAGGGAAUACUAAGGAGAAGACUGAUCAAGAUACCUGGGUGUUGUGUGGCCAGAAGCAGGAAAUCAACAUUAGGAGACUGCCAGUGGUCAUCAUCCUGCAUGAGCCUGGUGUGAAAGUUGCAUUCAAGCUAUCAUGACAAACCAAAAACUGGAUCCUAGACAACAGAGUUCCUGCUGACUAUGUGUUUAAUGUCUGGUACACAGCCAAUGACCACAUGGCCAACAAGCAUACAAUGAAAGAUGAAAUACAAAAAAUAUAAUGGAGCUACACUACAGCAUCUACAGAGAAAGAAGUAAUAAACUUCAAGUGAUAAACUUCAAGUUAUCUACCUUCAAGUUUGAACAUGUCAUUUAUGAAGACUACCAGCACUUCUAUGGGGGAAAAAGAUGCAACAAGCAUACAUGGCCCUCGAUCCUCGGUGGCGCCUUCACACCCACGUUGGUUUUGAAUACAGCCUGUCACCACUGGCGACUCACCAGCAGCCUCACGAGAAAAUCCAGCCACAAGAGCUCAAUAACUACUCCAAGGUCAGACGCACUCAUUCGCCUUAUCUGUACACGGGUUAUGAUUGGUGAGAAUGUAGGUAAAAGGGGCUUCUGGAAUAAACGUGACAC